UUUUUUCUGCGACAAAAAGUUAUACUUGCUGUUUUACCUUGGCAUGUGACCUGUGGGUUACUCAUCUUCCUCCUGGGAAGGGAGGGAGCCCUAACA